GAUGAACGCUGGCGGCGUGCCUAAUACAUGCAAGUCGAGCGAACGGACGAGAAGCUUGCUUCUCUGAUGUUAGCGGCGGACGGGUGAGUAACACGUGGAUAACCUACCUAUAAGACUGGGAUAACUUCGGGAAACCGGAGCUAAUACCGGAUGAUAUUUUGAACCGCAUGGUUCAAAAGUGAAAGACGGUCUUGCUGUCACUUAUAGAUGGAUCCGCGCUGCAUUAGCUAGUUGGUAAGGUAAUGGCUUACCAAGGCAACGAUGCAUAGCCGACCUGAGAGGGUGAUCGGCCACACUGGAACUGAGACACGGUCCAGACUCCUACGGGAGGCAGCAGUAGGGAAUCUUCCGCAAUGGGCGAAAGCCUGACGGAGCAACGCCGCGUGAGUGAUGAAGGUCUUCGGAUCGUAAAACUCUGUUAUUAGGGAAGAACAUAUGUGUAAGUAACUGUGCACAUCUUGACGGUACCUAAUCAGAAAGCCACGGCUAACUACGUGCCAGCAGCCGCGGUAAUACGUAGGUGGCAAGCGUUAUCCGGAAUUAUUGGGCGUAAAGCGCGCGUAGGCGGUUUUUUAAGUCUGAUGUGAAAGCCCACGGCUCAACCGUGGAGGGUCAUUGGAAACUGGAAAACUUGAGUGCAGAAGAGGAAGGUGGAAUUCCAUGUGUAGCGGUGAAAUGCGCAGAGAUAUGGAGGAACACCAGUGGCGAAGGCGACUUUCUGGUCUGUAACUGACGCUGAUGUGCGAAAGCGUGGGGAUCAAACAGG
rnacentral:rRNA from 1 species